ensembl:lncRNA
AUGGGGUCUUGCUGUGUUGCCCAGGCUGGUCUCAAACUCCUGGGAUCAAGCAAUCUGCCCAUCUCAGCCUCCCAAAGUGCUGGGAUUAUAAGCAUAAGCCACUGCACCCAACCCUGGUUUUUAUUUGACCACUCUCAACUCUCCUGUGACCAUCCUUCCUUCUUGAAAUGUUGCCUUCCUUUGGCAACUGUGAUACCACCCAAAGUUCUCAUUGUUUCUUUCUCGUCCUCUCACGUGCCUCUUCUUUAAUAUUAAGUCCAUUCCAGAGUCUGUCCUGGUUUGUCUUCCCAUCUCUCUGAGUGAUCCCAAUCACUUUCAUUCAACAUUUAUUGAGUGCCCAUGCUGUGCUAGGCAUUGUUCUAGGCACUGACCACUUGCAACUUCUAAGUACAUGCUGGUAAAUGACAAAUGUGUCUAUCUCAGGCUCACAUAUCCAACUGCUUCCCUGAAAUGUGAACUUGGAUAUCAAAUGAUCUUCCCCAAACUUAAACUUGUCUAGAACUGAGUUCAUCAUCCUUCUCUCUAGAUUGGUUUCUCCUCCUGGGUUCCCCAUUUUAGCAAAGGAUAUUCAUUCAGUUGCCCAAGACUGAUAGCUGGAGUCAUCCUAGACCCUUUCCUCUCUCGCACCUGAGAAAGUAGUAAGUCUUUUUUUUCUGCUUCCUAGAUAUGUCUGAGUUUCAAUCACUUGUCUCCAUCACUGUUACCACCACACUGGUCUCCAUCUCGGUCUAAGCCAUUAUUAUGGCUCUUAUAGAAUACAGCAGCAGGCUCCUUCCUGGUCUCAGCCUUUGGGCCUUCUCCCUGUGAAUUCAUCCAGAGCAUACUUCCUGUGACACAAGACUGAUGAUGUUAAGCUCCUGCUGAAACCCUAUAAUGUUUUUUUUGGCCUUCAGAAUUUCAGUUCUAAUUUUUCAAUAUGCUUUAUAAGGCCAACCAUAAUCAGGUACCUCCUCUACCUCUCCGCUUUUAUUUAUUUCCAAUUCCCCUUUCCCCUCAUAUUCUGUCACUCAUUCAUUCUUCCCUCCAUCCAUAUUAAACUCCUCUUAGCUCCUGAACAUCCCAAUCUUUCUCUAGACUCUGAAUUUUGCCUGUGCUGUUCCCUCUGCAUGGAACAGCUCAUUGGCUGCUCUCCCACCCCUUUCCUCUGCCAAUGCCACCUUUUCUUCAGGCUUCAGCAGAGAUCUUACUUUAUCUAGGAAGCCUUCCCUAAACUCCCACAUCUGGGACAAGGGUCUUUUUCUGAGCUGCCAUAGUAAGCUGGUACCAUUUAUCACACUAGGGUGCUUCCCUGUUCAUUGGUCUACAUCUGCCUUUAAAUAUAAGCAUCUAAGAGGGCAGGAACCUUGCCUCUCUUGUGUGUUUGUUUUUGAGACAGACUCUCACUCUGUCAUCCAGGCUGGAGUGCAAUGGCACAAUCUCAGCUGACUGCAACCUCCACCUCCUGGGCUCAAGUGAUUCUCCUGCCUCAGCCUCCUGAAUAGCUGGGACUACAGGCAUGCACCACCACACCUGGCUAAUUUUUUAGAGAUGGGGUCUUGCCCAGGCUGGUCUCGAACUCCUGAGUUUGAGUGAUCGGCCCACCUCAGCCUCCCAAAGUACUGGGAUUACAGGCGUGAGCCACCUCACCAAGCUCUUGUUUAAUAUUUAAUUCUUGGGACCUAGCACAGUGACCAGCACAUAGUAGGUGCUCAGUAAGUACAUGUAGAAUAAAUGAACAGUUGAUAAGUGCAGGAUAUGAAUCCAAAAAUUCUGGUCCUGACUCACCACUGGACCCUUGGAAAGUGUUUUUUAGUAUUGCUGUACCUUAGUGUCCUCACUUGUAAUAUGAAUAUACAAUAUAGAGCAUGGCAAUGGCAAUUUUAAAACAUAAUCCCCAAAUUCUUUGGCACUUCUUUUAAUGAGAGGUAGAGCCUAUGUCCCUUCCUUUAGAAUUUGGGCUCUGUAAUUUUUUGAUCAAAACAAAAGUGAUGUCAUGGCCAUUUCUGGACUCAAGUCUUAAGAAAUUAGCAAUUUCCAUUUUGUUUUUCUUGUAAUGCUUCCUUGCAGAAUGCAGGCACUAUGCCAUGGAGAUGCAGCUCCAGAGAGGCCCACGCAGAGGAUUCCAGCCUCCAGCCCUCAGCUUCCGCCAAGCUGCCAGCCAGCAACAGGCACAACUUGGCAGCCAUUUUGGCCUCCAUCUUGCUCUAUCCAAGCAAGACGUCUUGGAAGUGGAUCUUCCAGCCCCAUUUGAACAUCCACCCCUAUGUAAUAUUCCAGAGAUAAAGAAAUGUUGUUUUAAGAUCUACGUUUUGGGAUGGU